rnacentral:rRNA from 1 species
AGCUGCUGUCUCAGACUAAGCCAUGCACGUCUAAGUACAAACUAAAUGAUGGUGAAACUGCAAAUGGCUCAUUACAACGGUUAUGAUGUACCCGGGAGUUCCGAUGGAUAUUUCCAGUAACACUAGAACUAAUACAUGUCCCUGCGUUUAUUAGUUUCGCACAGUCCGUCGCUGAGUCAUGGUAAACAGUUGAUCGACUCGACGUCCCGGAACAGUUUCCGCCCCAUCAGCUUCGAUGGUUGGGUAUUGGCCUACCAUUGCAACAACGGGUAACGAGGAAUUAGGGUUUGAUUUCGGAGAGGGAGCCUGAGAAGCGGCUACCACAUCUACGGAUGGCAGCAGGCGCGCAAAUUACCCAAUGCAGACACUGUGAGGUAGUGACGAGAAAUAAUAAAGCGGGACUUCUGUUUCGCUAUUAUAAUGAGGAAUAACCAAAGGUCAUUCCGAUUAGCAACUGAUGGGAAAGUCUGGUGCCAGCAGCCGCGGUAAUACCAGCGUCA